UCCGGUUGAUCCUGCCGGACCUGACUGCUAUCGGAUUGAUACUAAGCCAUGCGAGUCUUUGCAGUAAUGCAAGGCGGACUGCUCAGUAACACGUAGUCAACUUAACCUAUGGAUGGGUAUAACCUCGGGAAACUGAGAAUAAUUCCCAAUAGAUCAUUUAUCCUGGAAUGGUUGAUGAUUGAAAUGAUUCGUCGCCAUAGGAUGGGACUGCGGCCUAUCAGCUUGUUGGUGAGGUAAAGGCCCACCAAGGCUAUUACAGGUACGGGCUCUGAGAGGAGAAGCCCGGAGAUGGGUACUGAGACACGGACCCAGGCCCUAUGGGGCGCAGCAGGCGAGAAAACUUUGCAAUGUGCGAAAGCACGACAAGGUUAAUCCGAGUGAUUUCUGCUAAAGAAAUCUUUUGCCAGUUCUAAAAAUACUGGUGAAUAAGGGGUGGGCAAGUUCUGGUGUCAGCCGCCGCGGUAAAACCAGCACCUCAAGUUGUCAGGAGGAUUAUUGGGCCUAAAGCAUCCGUAGCCGGCUCUGUUAGUUUUCGGUUAAAUCCAUAUGCUCAACAUAUGGGCUGUCGGAAAUACUGCAGAGCUAGGGAAUGGGAGAGGUAGACGGUACUCGGUAGGAAGGGGUAAAAUCCUUUGAUCUAUCGAUGACCACCUGUGGCGAAGGCGGUCUACCAGAACAUGUUCGACGGUGAGGGAUGAAAGCUGGGGGAGCAAACCGGAUUAGAUACCCGGGUAGUCCCAGCUGUAAACGAUGCAGACUAGAUGAUGCAUUAGCAUAUAGCUAGUGCAGUGUCUCAGGGAAGCCGUUAAGUCUGCCGCCUGGGAAGUACGUACGCAAGUAUGAAACUUAAAGGAAUUGGCGGGGGAGCACCACAAGGGGUGAAGCCUGCGGUUCAAUUGGAUUCAACGCCGGA
rnacentral:rRNA from 1 species